UGAAGGUUACAUUCUUUUGCCUAUCAUACAUGCCAAUAACAAUCAAGAAUAAUAGAGUUAAGAAAAUUCAUCUAUUUCUUAUUUAAUGAAAAAAGACCGAUCUAGACAAGAUCUAUCUAUCCAUUACUUAGUUUUAACUUCUACCCAUGAUUAAAUCUAUGCUCUGAUAUCACUAAGUAUCACGUCCCAAAUCUAGAAUAUGGCAUGGCCAUGCUACCAUGGA
rnacentral:lncRNA from 1 species